CGAGGAUGACCACAGGGAUUGCCCCAGUAACGGCGAGUGAAGCGGCAACAGCUCAAAUUUGAAAUCUGGCCCUCGGGUCCGAGUUGUAAUUUGUAGAGGAUGCUUUUGGCGAGGUGCCUUCCGAGUUCCCUGGAACGGGACGCCAUAGAGGGUGAGAGCCCCGUCUGGUCGGACACCGAGCCUCUGUAAAGCUCCUUCGACGAGUCGAGUAGUUUGGGAAUGCUGCUCAAAAUGGGAGGUAUAUGUCUUCUAAAGCUAAAUAUUGGCCAGAGACCGAUAGCGCACAAGUAGAGUGAUCGAAAGAUGAAAAGCACUUUGAAAAGAGGGUUAAAAAGUACGUGAAAUUGUUGAAAGGGAAGCGCCUAUGACCAGACUUGCGCCCGGUGAAUCAUCCAGCGUUCUCGCUGGUGCACUUUGCCGGGCACAGGCCAGCAUCAGUUUGGCGCGGGGGAAAAAGGCUUCGGGAAUGUGGCUCCCUCGGGAGUGUUAUAGCCCGCUGCGUAAUACCCUGCGCCGGACUGAGGUACGCGCAUCGCAAGGAUGCUGGCGUAAUGGUCAUCAGCGACCCGUCUUGAAACACGGACCAAGGAGUCGUCUUCGUAUGCGAGUGUUCGGGUGUCAAACCCCUACGCGUAAUGAAAGUGAACGUAGGUGAGAGCUUCGGCGCAUCAUCGACCGAUCCUGAUGUUCUCGGAUGGAUUUGAGUAAGAGCAUACGGGGCCGGACCCGAAAGAAGGUGAACUAUGCCUGUAUAGGGUGAAGCCAGAGGAAACUCUGGUGGAGGCUCGCAGCGGUUCUGACGUGCGAAUCGAUCGUCAAAUAUGGGCAUGGGGGCGAAAG
rnacentral:rRNA from 1 species